rnacentral:rRNA from 1 species
GUGAGUCAUCGAAUCUUUGAACGCACCUUGCACCCAUUGGUAUUCCAAGGGUAUGCUCGUUUGAGUGUCAUUGUACUCUCACACUCUAAUUAAAUUUGGAGAAGUGGACUUUGGGUGUUGCCGCUUUGCUGUGGCUCAUCUUAAAUGUGCUAGUGCAACUCAUGGUUGGAUAUAGUACAGCGUGAUAAGUAUCUUCGCUGGCACCUCAUGAAGAGGGUGUCCGAUUGGGAGCUCUGUGCUUCAAACUGUCCUGUCUGGGACAAUCUCUGACAACUUGGCCUCAAAUCGAGUAGGACUACCCGCUGAACUUAAGCAUAUCAAUAAGCGGAGG